rnacentral:rRNA from 1 species
AACGUGGACCCGUGAUCCGGGUUGCGGACAGUGUCUGGUGGGUAGUUUGACUGGGGCGGUCUCCUCCUAAAGAGUAACGGAGGAGCACGAAGGUUGGCUAAUCCUGGUCGGACAUCAGGAGGUUAGUGCAAUGGCAUAAGCCAGCUUGACUGCGAGCGUGACGGCGCGAGCAGGUGCGAAAGCAGGUCAUAGUGAUCCGGUGGUUCUGAAUGGAAGGGCCAUCGCUCAACGGAUAAAAGGUACUCCGGGGAUAACAGGCUGAUACCGCCCAAGAGUUCAUAUCGACGGCGGUGUUUGGCACCUCGAUGUCGGCUCAUCACAUCCUGGGGCUGAAGUAGGUCCCAAGGGUAUGGCUGUUCGCCAUUUAAAGUGGUACGCGAGCUGGGUUUAGAACGUCGUGAGACAGUUCGGUCCCUAUCUGCCGUGGGCGCUGGAGAACUGAGGGGGGCUGCUCCUAGUACGAGAGGACCGGAGUGGACGCAUCACUGGUGUUCGGGUUGUCAUGCCAAUGGCACUGCCCGGUAGCUAAAUGCGGAAGAGAUAAGUGCUGAAAGCAUCUAAGCACGAAACUUGCCCCGAGAUGAGUUCUCCCUGAGACUUAAAGUCUCCUGAAGGAACGUUGAAGACGACGACGUUGAUAGGCCGGGUGUGUAAGCGCAGCGAUGCGUUGAGCUAACCGGUACUAAUGAACCGUGAGGCUUAACCUUACAACGCCGAAG